AGUAAUAGCCUCGUAUUUAAAAUAGUCUUUGUAGCUAGCAGUAUCCUGAGUACGGCGGGACACGUGAAAUCCCGUCGGAAUCUGGGAGGACCAUCUCCCAACCCUAAAUACUCCCUAGUGACCGAUAGUGAACCAGUACCGUGAGGGAAAGGUGAAAAGCACCCCGGGAGGGGAGUGAAAUAGAACCUGAAACCGUGUGCCUACAACAAGUUCGAGCCCGUUAAUGGGUGAGAGCGUGCCUUUUGUAGAAUGAACCGGCGAGUUACGUUAUGAUGCGAGGUUAAGUUGAAGAGACGGAGCCGUAGGGAAACCGAGUCUGAAUAGGGCGCCUUAGUGUCAUGACGUAGACCCGAAACCAUGUGACCUACCCAUGAGCAGGUUGAAGGUGCGGUAAGACGCACUGGAGGACCGAACCAGGGCACGUUGAAAAGUGCUUGGAUGACUUGUGGGUAGCGGAGAAAUUCCAAACGAACUUGGAGAUAGCUGGUUCUCUCCGAAAUAGCUUUAGGGCUAGCGUCGACAUUAGAGAUUCUUGGAGGUAGAGCACUGUUUGGGUGAGGGGUCCAUCCCGGAUUACCAAUCUCAGAUAAACUCCGAAUGCCAAUGAAUUAUGGUCGGCAGUCAGACUGCGAGUGCUAAGAUCCGUAGUCGAAAGGGAAACAGCCCAGACCACCAGCUAAGGUCCCAAAAUAAUUGUUAAGUGGAAAAGGAUGUGGGGUUGCACAGACAACUAGGAUGUUAGCUUAGAAGCAGCUAUUCAUUCAAAGAGUGCGUAAUAGCUCACUAGUCGAGUGACCCUGCGCCGAAAAUGUACCGGGGCUAAAACAAUUUACCGAAGCUGUGGAUACCUUUAUAGGUAUGGUAGGAGAGCGUUCUAUGUGUGAUGAAGGUAUACCGUGAGGAGUGCUGGAACGCAUAGAAGUGAGAAUGCCGGUAUGAGUAGCGAAAGACAGGUGAGAAUCCUGUCCACCGUAAGACUAAGGUUUCCAGGGGAAGGCUCGUCCGCCCUGGGUUAGUCGGGACCUAAGGAGAGACCGAAAGGUGUAUCCGAUGGACAACAGGUUGAUAUUCCUGUACUAGAGUAUGUAGUGAUGGAGGGACGCAGUAGGCUAACUAAAGCAGACGAUUGGAAGAGUCUGUCUAAGCAGUGAGGUGUGAAUUGAGUCAAAUGCUUAAUUCUAUAACAUUGAGCUGUGAUGGGGAGCGAAGUUUAGUAGCGAAGUUAGUGACGUCACACUGCCAAGAAAAGCUUCUAGCGUUUAAACAUACUCUACCCGUACCGCAAACCGACACAGGUAGUCGAGGCGAGUAGCCUCAGGUGAGCGAGAGAACUCUCGUUAAGGAACUCGGCAAAAUGACCCCGUAACUUCGGGAGAAGGGGUGCUGACUUAAAGUCAGCCGCAGUGAAUAGGCCCAAGCAACUGUUUAUCAAAAACACAGCUCUCUGCUAAAUCGUAAGAUGAUGUAUAGGGGGUGACGCCUGCCCGGUGCUGGAAGGUUAAGAGGAGUGCUUAGCGUAAGCGAAGGUAUGAAUUGAAGCCCCAGUAAACGGCGGCCGUAACUAUAACGGUCCUAAGGUAGCGAAAUUCCUUGUCGGGUAAGUUCCGACCCGCACGAAAGGCGUAAUGAUUUGGGCACUGUCUCAACGAGAGACUCGGUGAAAUUUUAGUACCUGUGAAGAUGCAGGUUACCCGCGACAGGACGGAAAGACCCCAUGGAGCUUUACUGCAGUUUGAUAUUGAGUGUCUGUACCACAUGUACAGGAUAGGUAGGAGUCUAAGAGAUCGGGACGCCAGUUUCGAAGGAGACGCUGUUGGGAUACUACCCUUGUGUUAUGGCCACUCUAACCCAGAUAGGUGAUCCCUAUCGGAGACAGUGUCUGACGGGCAGUUUGACUGGGGCGGUCGCCUCCUAAAAGGUAACGGAGGCGCCCAAAGGUUCCCUCAGAAUGGUUGGAAAUCAUUCGCAGAGUGUAAAGGUAUAAGGGAGCUUGACUGCGAGAGCUACAACUCGAGCAGGGACGAAAGUCGGGCUUAGUGAUCCGGUGGUUCCGUAUGGAAGGGCCAUCGCUCAACGGAUAAAAGCUACCCUGGGGAUAACAGGCUUAUCUCCCCCAAGAGUUCACAUCGACGGGGAGGUUUGGCACCUCGAUGUCGGCUCGUCGCAUCCUGGGGCUGUAGUCGGUCCCAAGGGUUGGGCUGUUCGCCCAUUAAAGCGGCACGCGAGCUGGGUUCAGAACGUCGUGAGACAGUUCGGUCCCUAUCCGUCGCGGGCGUAGGAAAUUUGAGAGGAUCUGCUCCUAGUACGAGAGGACCAGAGUGGACUUACCGCUGGUGUACCAGUUGUCUUGCCAAAGGCAUCGCUGGGUAGCUAUGUAGGGAAGGGAUAAACGCUGAAAGCAUCUAAGUGUGAAACCCACCUCAAGAUGAGAUUUCCCAUGAUUAUAUAUCAGUAAGAGCCCUGAGAGAUGAUCAGGUAGAUAGGUUAGAAGUGGAAGUGUGGCGACACAUGUAGCGGACUAAUACUAAUAGCUCGAGGACUUAUCCAAA
rnacentral:rRNA from 1 species